rnacentral:sRNA from 1 species
CGUCACCGAUCCAACUGCUUGCCCGUUACCGGGUCACGGCACCAACCCAAUCGUGGCUGGCUCUCCCGAUGU